rnacentral:tRNA from 1 species
GCAUCGCUGGUGUAGUGGUAUCAUGCAAGACUCCCAUCCUUGCGACCCGGGUUCGAUUCCCGGGCGGUGCA